rnacentral:pre_miRNA from 1 species
AGUAGAAUUGUUGGGUCAAAUGGUCAUUCUAUGUUUAACUUUUUGAGGAACUGCCAGACUGUUUUCUAUAGUGGCUGCAUCAUUUUACAUUCCCACCAGCAAU